rnacentral:rRNA from 1 species
AAGCGGAGGAAAAGAAACCAACAGGGAUUGCCUCAGUAACGGCGAGUGAAGCGGCAAAAGCUCAAAUUUGAAAUCUAGCACCUUUGGUGUUCGAGUUGUAAUUUGAAGAUGGUAACCUUGGGUUUGGCUCUUGUCUAUGUUCCUUGGAACAGGACGUCAUAGAGGGUGAGAAUCCCGUCUGAUGAGAUGCCCAUUCCUUUGUAAGGUACUAUCGAAGAGUCGAGUUGUUUGGGAAUGCAGCUCUAAGUGGGUGGUAAAUUCCAUCUAAAGCUAAAUAUUGGCGAGAGACCGAUAGCGAACAAGUACAGUGAUGGAAAGAUGAAAAGAACUUUGAAAAGAGAGUGAAAAAGUACGUGAAAUUGUUGAAAGGGAAGGGCAUUAGAUCAGACUUGGUGUUGUGCGAUUAUCUUCUCUUCUUGAGUUGUGCACUCGUACUUCACUGGGCCAGCAUCGAUUCGGAUGGCAGGAUAAUGACAGUUGAACGUGGCACCACUUCGGUGGUGUGUUAUAGCCUCUGUUGAUACUGCCUGUCUGGAUCGAGGGCUGCGUCUUUUGACUAGGAUGCUGGCGUAAUGAUCUAAUGCCGCCCGUCUUGAAACACGGACCAAGGAGUCUAACGUCUAUGCGAGUGUUUGGGUGUAAAACCCGUACGCGUAAUGAAAGUGAACGUAGGUGAGAGCUCUUCGGAGUGCAUCAUCGACCGAUCCUGAUGUUUUCAGAUGGAUUUGAGUAAGAGCAUAGCUGUUGGGACCCGAAAGAUGGUGAACUAUGCCUGAAUAGGGUGAAGCCAGAGGAAACUCUGGUGGAGGCUCGUAGC